rnacentral:rRNA from 1 species
UAAUAGUGUAUAUUAAAGUUGUUGCAGUUAAAAAGCUCGUAGUUGAAUGUUGGUGUCGAACGAGCGGUCAGCUUCGGCUGUACUGCGCUCUCGACUCCUUCCUUCUGUGGACUACGUCGCACUUUACUGUGUGGCGCUAGGACGCAGAUCGUUUACUGUGAAAAAAUUAGAGUGUUCAAAGCAGGCCGUACGCUUGAAUACAUUAGCAUGGAAUAAUGGAAUAGGACGUCGGGCCUAUUUUGUUGGUUCUAGGACCGUCGUAAUGAUUAAUAGGGACAGUUGGGGCCGUUUAUAUUCCGUAGUCAGAGGUGAAAUUCUUGGAUUUACGGAAGAUAAACUACUGCGAAAGCAUUCGGCAAGGAUGUUUUCGUUA